rnacentral:rRNA from 1 species
UGGGGAAUAUUGCACAAUGGGCGGAAGCCUGAUGCAGCGACGCCGCGUGAGGGAUGACGGCCUUCGGGUUGUAAACCUCUUUCAGUAGGGACGAAGCGUAAGUGACGGUACCUGCAGAAGACGCACCGGCUAACUACGUGCCAGCAGCCGCGGUAAUACGUAGGGUGCGAGCGUUGUCCGGAAUUACUGGGCGUAAAGAGCUCGUAGGCGGUUUGUCACGUCGUCUGUGAAAUCCUAGGGCUUAACCCUGGACGUGCAGGCGAUACGGGCGGACUUGAGUACUACAGGGGAGACUGGAAUUUCUGGUGUAGCGGUGGAAUGCACAGAUAUCAGGAAGAACACCGAUGGCGAAGGCAGGUCUCUGGGUAGUAACUGACGCUGAGGAGCGAAAGCAUGGGUAGCGAACAGG